AAGUGAGAAGCAACAGCUUGCAAUCAGUUUCGACCUGAUCUUAGAUAGUAAUACUAUCCUCACUAU
rnacentral:tRNA from 1 species